rnacentral:rRNA from 1 species
CGGGACGGGUGAGUAAUGUCUAGGGAAACUGCCUGAUGGGAGGGGAUACACUGGAAACGGUAGCUAAUACCGCAUAACGUCGCAAGACCAAAGAGGGGGACCUUCGGGCCUCUUGCCAUCGGAUGUGCCCAGAUGGGAUUAGCUAGUAGGUGGGGUAACGGCUCACCUAGGCGACGAUCCCUAGCUGGUCUGAGAGGAUGACCAGCCACACUGGAACUGAGACACGGUCCAG